rnacentral:rRNA from 1 species
GCACGGUAGGCAGUCACUUGGAGGUUGUGCCCUUGAGGCGUGGCUUCCGGAGCUAACGCGUUAAGUCGACCGCCUGUAACCGUACGGCCGCAAGGUUAAAACUCAAAUGAAUUGACGGGGGCCCGCACAAGCGGUGGAGCAUGUGGUUUAAUUCGAUGCAACGCGAAGAACCUUACCUGGUCUUGACAUCCACGGAAGUUUUCAGAGAUGAAAUGGUGCCUUCGGGAACCGUGAGACAGGUGCUGCAUGGCUGUCGUCAGCUCGUGUUGUGAAAUGUUGGGUUAAGUCCCGCAACGAGCGCAACCCUUAUCCUUUGUUGCCAGCGGUCCGGCCGGGAACUCAAAGGAGACUGCCAGUGAUAAACUGGAGGAAGGUGGGGAUGACGUCAAGUCAUCAUGGCCCUUACGACCAGGGCUACACACGUGCUACAAUGGCGCAUACAAAGAGAAGCGACCUCGCGAGAGCAAGCGGACCUCAUAAAGUGCGUCGUAGUCCGGAUUGGAGUCUGCAACUCGACUCCAUGAAGUCGGAAUCGCUAGUAAUCGUGGAUCAGAAUGCCACGGUGAAUACGUUCCCGGGCCUUGUACACACCGCCCGUCACACCAUGGGAGUGGGUUGCAAAAGAAGUAGGUAGCUUAACCUUCGGGAGGGCGCUUACCACUUUGUGAUUCAUGACUGGGGUGAAGUCGUCAAA